rnacentral:misc_RNA from 1 species
UAAUUAACUUUUGAAAUUUGUUUCUGUUGUAGCAAUCAAGAUAUUUAAUGGGUAAAAAUACAAGAAAUUGCUAACAUGGCAUGUUGAUUAGGAAAAAUAAAAUAUUAGUGAGCUCGAUAACAAAAUAUUUUUAUGACCCAAUUGCUAAAAUUUAAACAAUUGUCAGAAUUUGAUGAUAAAAAUUGUUAAAAUUAAAUUCUUUGGCUAAAGUUGAAAAUGCACCUAGAUAUUUGAAUUUUUAUGGUCAUUUGGCCUUUGAAGAACUGAAAUAAUUUGGCCUUGGAUAUGUGAGCGUGUAUUGGGUCUAAGCCUCAACCAUUAUUAGAUUAUGAUGAUGAUAAUUAUGACAAUGUUGGAG